AAAAAUAAACGCAUUUGGUCAGAGUUAGGGAAUAMUUUGUAUAUCAUAAUUUUAACAAGAGUCGACCAAAUAUUGGACGAGUACCGGUUUUUCUCAGUUGCUAYGUAUUUCAUUUAGAUCGUGUGCGCUUGCGCAGAUGGGGGGCGGAUUUGUUUUGCUGGACCCUGUAGGGUUUUGCAUUAGAAUCCACCGAAAUGGAGUUUAUGAGACACCGGCAUCUUCGACGGUAAACCUUCCUGAGUGACCUCGCGACGGCCUACGAGAAGACGAAACCAUGGGSAACACGAGCAGCGAGCGGGCUGCGAUGGGCCACGGCGAGAAGGCUCAGCGGCGAGACAGCCGGGGGAUCAAAGAGGGAGAGAGACCCAAAAUCCUCAUGGACAGCCCAGAGGAUGCUGACAUUUUUCAUGGAGAAGACAUGAAGGCCCCUCUAGAGAAGGAGGAGUUCCUUGCCUGGCAGCAGGACCUGGAAGCAGA